AGACAGUACAGAGACAGGUCAUUAAGGAGCAGGUAGGGGUUAGACAGUACAGAGACAGGUCAUUAAGGAGCAGGUAGGGGUUAGACAGUACAGAGACAGGUCAUUAAGGAGCAGGUAGGGGUAAGACAGUACAGAGACAGGUCAUUAAGGAGCAGGUAGGGGUUAGACAGUACAGAGACAGGUCAUUAAGGAGCAGGUAGGGGUUAGACAGUACAGAGACAGGUCAUUAAGGAGCAGGUAGGGAUUAGACAGUACAGAGACAGGUCAUUAAGGAGCAGGUAGGGGUUAGACAGUACAGAGACAGGUCAUUAAGGAGCAGGCAG
ensembl:lncRNA